rnacentral:rRNA from 1 species
GAUUUCUGGGGCGUCGGAUGGCCCCCGGCCUCACGGCCGGGCGCGCCGGUUCCGCGCGCCCCACUCUCGGGUGGGUCCCCCCUGGCAUUAAGUUGCUGGGGGGGGGAAGCCCGUCGUUUACUGUGAAAAAAUUAGAGUGUUCAAAGCAGGCUUAGGCCGUUGAAUACAUUAGCAUGGAAUAAUGAGAUAAGGCCUUGAUGGUUUUUAUUUUGUUGGUUUGCACGCCAAGGCAAUGAUUAACAGGGAUAGUUGGGGGUAUUCGUAUUCAAUUGUCAGAGGUGAAAUUCUUGGAUUUAUGGAAGACGAACUACUGCGAAAGCAUU